GAACCACAGAACGACCGAGGAAGAGAUUCAAGCCUGCAGAUCCACUCAUAACCUGCUACACACAACAUGAUCCGCCUUGUCGUCAUUUUGUCUGUACUUGCUGUCUUCGAACACCAUGUCAGCAGCCGACCUCAAAACCCUCUGGAUAUUGCAUCAUCGUUCGUGGGCAAUAACAAGCCUGGGUUCAAUCCCGCGGACUUCCUACGGCCUGGACAGACAACAGCAGCGCCAGCACAGGAGAGUGGUGGGAUUAGCAAAAGGAGCGCUCAAUUUAAUAUUGCAGAUUUUUUUCCGGCUGGAGUUCCUACCAUUCCACCUGCUAUCUCUAACAUUAUUCCGACUAAUAUCCCUGGCAUCAAAGACAUGGUUCCAGGAGUGGGAGGAAAGGGAGAUUCCACCACAGCACCCACUGAGAAGUGAAUCACAGCUAAUCUUUAUUUAUUUAUUUCAAACAAUUUGUUUAAUAUUUGCUGCACUUAUUAUUUUGAGUAAUAUAAAAUGAUUGCUUAGAAAAUUACAAAAAAUUGUUGCGUUACAACACUUUAAGUCAGAUAUCUGUGUUUCUGUAUGUUUUAUAACAACAGUGUUCACUUCUAGUUACACAGUAGAUAUAUAGUAAUUAUAUGCAUAAAGAAUGUAUGAAAUUAAAUACAUACACACAUACACAUAAA